UUCAACUAGGUCAGCCUCUAAAAAAUCCCCCCUCCCAAACAAAAUUGAAUAAAUCGACAUCUAAUCCGAAUUCUAGUAAAAGAAAAAUCGAUUUUGCUGCAAUUCCAGCGACAAUGAAGAAUCGCAGAAAGCUUGUUCGUGAAGAUGACGACAACGACUUCGAAGAGUUCGAGAUCCCUGAUAAUCGUAGGGAUAGGGCUGUUGCGGAACCCAUUAGUUCUAUAAAGUUGGUGCAUCAUUUGCUGUUGUUCGGGUCUGAUAUUCCAACUCAGAAGGAUAGUGAUUGUGGUGCAUUUGUUUUGGCGUUUGCUUAGCAUUUGAUCAUGAACCGACCAAUUUCGGCUGAUUAUACCAUAGAGAAUCAUCGUGAGCAUCUUGAAUUUCUGUUGUAUCGAUAAAGACAAAUAAAGAUUGAUAGAAAUAUUGACACUGACGAGGAGAUUGAACCAAAACAAAAAAAUGCAAGAAAAAAGACGGGAGAAGAUUAUUCCACAUAUUGCAAUAUAUUUUGAUUUUGUUAGCUAUAUGUCUUUUAGCAUAAUGAGAACUUCGAUUAGUUAAAUUUUGUGUUAACUA